GUUUUCCGACUACAAUGAAGAGAAGGGACCGUCAUCGUUCGGCGGUGAUGAGGAAACCACGAGUUCUUGCGGGUUCUUGGACUUGAAUAUCUCCAUUAAUGACGAUCAUGAAAGGUCAGUUGAAGAAGAUGA